GAUGAACGCUGGCGGCGUGCCUAAUACAUGCAAGUCGAGCGAACAGACGAGGAGCUUGCUCCUCUGACGUUAGCGGCGGACGGGUGAGUAACACGUGGAUAACCUACCUAUAAGACUGGUAUAACUUCGGGAAACCGGAGCUAAUACCGGAUAAUAUAUUGAACCGCAUGGUUCAAUAGUGAAAGACGGUUUUGCUGUCACUUAUAGAUGGAUCCGCGCCGCAUUAGCUAGUUGGUAAGGUAACGGCUUACCAAGGCAACGAUGCGUAGCCGACCUGAGAGGGUGGUCGGCCACCCGGGAACUGAGACACGGUCCAGACUCCUACGGGACGCAGCAGUAGGGAAUCUUCCGCAAUGGGCGGAAGCCUGACAGAGCAACGCCGCGUGAGUUAUGAAGGCCUUCGGAUCGUAAAACUCUGUUAUUAGGGAAGAACAAAUGUGUAAGUAACUAUGCACGUCUUGACGGUACCUAAUCAGAAAGCCACGGCUAACUACGUG
rnacentral:rRNA from 1 species